rnacentral:lncRNA from 1 species
UUCUCCAUCCCAAACUUUUUGAAUAUCUCUCCAAUAUACUUUGUCUAUUUGGUGAAGGUUCCUUCUUAUUGCUUAGUUAGACAACUCAAGAAGGAGGGUGAAUUGGGUUUUUCAAAAAUUUAAAUAACUAUGUGCUGUUUUGAAAAAUAGUGAAGUGAGUGAGUAGAAAUAUUGCAACACAAUGAGCUAAAAUAAGAUAUAAAUAAAAAGCAAUAAAGGAAGCAAACAAACCAUAAACUCAAUCAAAUUUUAUAAUGGUUCAGUGUACCCCA